rnacentral:rRNA from 1 species
GAUAUAAGCAACGUGCCCUGAAGACUGGGAUAGCCAGCCGGAAGGCUGAGUAAUACCAGAUGUGGCCCUUUGAGGACAUCCUCGAAGGAUUAAACGGUUUUUCGCUUCAGGAGCGGCUUAUAGCCUAUCAGCUAGUUGGUGGGGUAACGGCCUACCAAGGCUACGACGGGUAGGGGGUCUGAGAGGAUGAUCCCCCCGAGUGGGACUGAGACACGGCCCACACACCUACGGGUGGCAGCAGUUUGGAAUCUUGCCCAAUGGGGGAAACCCUGAGGCAGCGACGCCGCGUGGAGGAUGAAGGAUCUAGGUCUGUAAACUCCUUUUAUCGGGAAAGACUUAGGACGGUACCCGAUGAAUAAGCACCGGCUAACUACGUGCCAGCAGCCGCGGUAAGACGUAGGGUGCAAGCGUUGUCCGGAUUUACUGGGCGUAAAGGACGCGUAGGCGGUUCGUUAAGUGUGAAGUGAAAUCUCCAGGGCUCAACCCGGAAACUGCUUUACAUACUGGCGGACUGGAGGGAUGCAGAGGUAAGUAGAAUUCCUGGUGUAGCUGUGAAAUGCGUUGAUAUCAGGAGGAAUACCGAUGGCGAAGGCAGCUUACUGGGCAUCAUCUGACGCUGAGGCGUGAAAGCGUGGGUAGCAAACAGGAUUAGAUACCCUGGUAGUCCACGCCCUAAACGAUGGAUACUAGACGUAAGAGGUAUCGACCCCUCUUGUGUCGCAGUUAACGCACUAAGUAUCCCGCCUGAGGACUACGGCCGCAAGGUUGAAACUCAAAUGAAUUGACGGGGACCCGCACAAGCGGUGGAGCAUGUGGAUUAAUUCGAUACUAACCGAAGAACCUUACCCAGGUUUGACAUCGAUCGCAAGACCGAGAGAUCGGUCCCUCCCCCCAAAAGGGGGACGUGAAGACACUUGUUGCAUGGCUGUCGUCAGCUCGUGCCGUGAGGUGUACGGUUAAGUCCGCCAACGAGCGCAACCCUCGUCCUAUGUUGCCAGCGAGAAAGUCGGGAACUCAUAGGAGACUGCCGGUGUAAGCCGGAGGAAGGUGGGGAUGACGUCAAGUCAGCAUGGCAGUUACGCCUGGGGCUUCACACAUGCUACAAUGGGCGAAACAGAGGGCAGCAAUAUCGUGAGAUGGAGCAAAUCCCAAAAAUACGCCCCCAGUUCAGAUUGCAGUCUGCAACUCGACUGCAUGAAGGCGGAAUCGCUAGUAACGCAGGUCAGCUAUACUGCGUUGAAUACGUUCCCGGGUCUUGUACACACCGCCCGUCAAGUCACCUGAAUUGUCUUCACCCGAAGUCUGUGGCCUAACCCGCAAGGGAGGGAGCAGCCGAAGGUGAGGGGGGUAAGGGGGACUAAGUCGUAACAAGGUA